rnacentral:lncRNA from 1 species
CAGACGAAAAGUUGAACCUGUAAACAAUUUCUCUCUAUAUUUAUUUGUUCAAGUGCCAGUGAAACGAACGAUAGAAAAAAAGAAGCAUUCAAAAUGUUCGCAAAAUUUUUGGUUCGGAUACAAAAAACCAAGUAAAAAUGAUACUGGGAAGACUGUUUACCGUUUAACUCCUAUCCCAAUCUUACCUAGUGGGUUAAAAAAGAAGGGACCGCGCUUGAAACAUGAGUGGAUUACAAGGAUCAGCCCUUUUUGAAUUAAUAGUCGAAGUGGUAACCAGCUAGAAGUCGUAAUCUUGAAAGGAUUUCUCGACGUGAAAUUGUUAAUUUUAUUCAACAACACCAAGAAACAGAGCUCGCUCAAGAAACAGAAAA